AUUGCAGGCUGCAACUCGCCUGCAUGAAGUUGGAAUUGCUAGUAAUCGCGAAUCAGAAUGUCGCGGUGAAUACGUUCCCGGGCCUUGUACACACCGCCCGUCACACCAUGAGAGUCGAUAACACCCGAAGCCUGUGAGCUAACCGUAAGGAGGCAGCAGUCGAAGGUGGGGUUGAUGAUUGGGGUGAAGUCGUAACAAGGUAGC
rnacentral:rRNA from 1 species